ACGCACGCUGGCGGCGUGCUUAACCCAUGCAAGUCGAACGGAAAGGCCCUGCUUUUGUGGGGUGCUCGAGUGGCGAACGGGUGAGUAACACGUUAGUAACCUGCCCUUGACUUUGGGAUAACUUCAGGAAACUGGGGCUAAUACCGGAUAGGAGCUCCUGCUGCAUGGUGGGGGUUGGAAAGUUUCGGCGGUUGGGGAUGGACUCGCGGCUUAUCAGCUUGUUGGUGGGGUAGUGGCUUACCAAGGCUUUGACGGGUAGCCGGCCUGAGAGGGUGACCGGCCACAUUGGGACUGAGAUACGGCCCAGACUCCUACGGGAGGCAGCAGUGGGGAAUAUUGCACAAUGGGCGGAAGCCUGAUGCAGCAACGCCGCGUGCGGGAUGACGGCCUUCGGGUUGUAAACCGCUUUCGCCUGUGACGAAGCGUGAGUGACGGUAAUGGGUAAAGAAGCACCGGCUAACUACGUG
rnacentral:rRNA from 1 species